GUCGUAACAAGGUUUCCGUAGGUGAACCUGCGGAAGGAUCAUUAUAGAAUAAAACACUGCUUGACUGUUGCUGGCUCUUUUCGAGCAUUUGUGCACGUCUCGCAAGUCUUUCUUGUACCCACCUGUGAACCAUUUGUAGACUUGGAAACAUUACCUCGAGAAAACUCGGUUGGAGGAUUUGCAAUAGCCUGUUCGCUUUGCUAUCCUUGAAUGUCUUUCAAUCUACGUAUUUUUAUUAUACCCCUUAAACAAGUAACAGAAUGUAUACUUAUUGGCCUUUGUGCCUUUAAUACAAAUACAACUUUCAACAACGGAUCUCUUGGCUCUCGCAUCGAUGAAGAACGCAGCGAAAUGCGAUAAGUAAUGUGAAUUGCAGAAUUCAGUGAAUCAUCGAAUCUUUGAACGCACCUUGCGCUCCUUGGUAUUCCGAGGAGCAUGCCUGUUUGAGUGUCAUUAAAUUAAAUCAACCCUUUACUUUUGCAAAGGUGUUUGGACUAUGGGGGCUUUGCAGGCUUCUUAACAAGUCUGCUCCCCUUAAAAGUAUUAGCGGAAACCAUUGUGAAAAAAGUUUCUUGGUGUGAUAAUUAUCUACGCCACACUUUGUUCACUUAAAAGGCUUUGCUUCUAACCGUUGUUUCAAACAACACAUUGAACAAUUUGACCUCAAAUCAGGUAGGACUACCCGCUGAACUUAAGCAUAUCAAUAAGCGGAGGAAAGAACUAACAAGGAUCCCCUAGUAACUGCGAGUGAGCGGGAAAGCUCAAUUUAA
rnacentral:rRNA from 1 species